rnacentral:rRNA from 1 species
CAACUGGAGAGUUUGAUCCUGGCUCAGAGCGAACGUUAGCGGCGGGCCUAACACAUGCAAGUCGAACGAGAAAGCCUUCGGGUGAGUACAGUGGCGCACGGGUGAGGAACGCGUAGGUAAUCCACCCUCUGGCGGGGGACAACACUCCGAAAGGAAUGCUAAUACCGCGUAAGACCACGCUCACUACGGUGAAAGUGGUUAAAGGUGCCUCAAAGCACCACCAGAGGACGAGCCUGCGUCCCAUCAGCUUGUUGGUAAGGUAACGGCUUACCAAGGCGAAGACGGGUAGCUGGUCUGAGAGGAUGAUCAGCCACACUGGCACUGGAACACGGGCCAGACUCCUACGGGAGGCAGCAGUGAGGAAUAUUG